AAAAGUUCUGCUUUUUCAUUUAAAAGGUAGUAAAAAGUUUGUUGGCAUUCUGGUAUAGUUUAUAAAAAAUUUAACUAGAUGUUUGUGCAUGUCUUGCUACAUGAGUAAUUUUCGCUCUUCUUGAAUGUGAAUGCGCACCUCAAAAUAAACUGUUACCUGCAAUCAUUUCAGCCAAAUCACUAGCAGAUGAUUAAUAAAAUAGGUUGCAGAUAAAAAAAGAGAAAAAAUGAAAUAAGCAGAACAAAAAGUAAAAUUAAGUGCUAUUUAAAAAUUGCAGAGAAAGCGUCACUAUCUCUGUAAUUCUUAUAAGUGACAGCUGUCCAACCGGCAGCAAUAAUUUGUUUGCAAUACUUAUUUGACAAGACUGUCCGUUGUUUAUCAAACAUUUCCUUUUCUUUUCUCCUAAUAUGUGAGUCAGACACUUUUUGACCUUCCUUAUUCUUAGAUAUGAACAUGUGACUGAGUUCUCGCCAAGUCUGGCUUUGAAAAAUGUCUCCCAGCAUUGCGUAUACCCUUUCUGCUCGAUAUUGGGCUGGCGUUGAAAACCUUAUCUCUGAAUGAUUGCUGUGACACAGAGGUCUCCCCUUCCCCUAAGGAUCAUCCUGCCCCUCCCACCAAAGGCAUUUGCUUGGGACUCUUAAGCAGGCUUUUGUAAGUCACCCCUCUGCUUCAUGAAGAACACACUGGGGUGGGAUAUCACACUGUGAAAAAUACAUAACUGGAAUUUGAAUAGUAAACCAGCAGAUCGGGAGCAACAUCUGGAGGGCCCAUAUAUGCCUGGGGAGAGAAGGAGAGGUGCUGGCACGCCCACAGGG
rnacentral:lncRNA from 1 species